rnacentral:rRNA from 1 species
GACGAACGCUGGCGGCGUGCUUAACACAUGCAAGUCGAACGGAAAGGCCCUGCUUUUGUGGGGUGCUCGAGUGGCGAACGGGUGAGUAACACGUGAGUAACCUGCCCUUGACUUUGGGAUAACUUCAGGAAACUGGGGCUAAUACCGGAUAGGAGCUCCUGCUGCAUGGUGGGGGUUGGAAAGUUUCGGCGGUUGGGGAUGGACUCGCGGCUUAUCAGCUUGUUGGUGGGGUAGUGGCUUACCAAGGCUUUGACGGGUAGCCGGCCUGAGAGGGUGACCGGACACAGUGGGACUGAGAUACGGCCCAGACGCCUACGGGAGGCAGGAGUGGGGAAUAUUGCACAAUGGGCGGAAGCCUGAUGCAGAAACGCCGCGUGCGGGAUGACGGCUUUCGGGUUGUAAACCGCUUUCGCCUGUGACGAAGCGUGAGUGACGGUAAUGGGUAAAGAAGCACCGGCUAACUACG